CUUUUUAGUGUCUGCUACUCCUGAAGAGGGCCAAGUCUAUUCACAUUUAUAAUUCCUUCCUCGCCAGCCCUCCUUUCACGUCUGGGAGACUGAGCACAGAGGAAAUCUUGGAGCUCGUGUAGAUCAGUCAGUAGCUUUCAAAGUCUUUGUUAAAGUAAAAGAAACCUUUCCUGGAAAAAGAUUCCAAUACAUAAGAGAGGAAAGAAGAGUUCCCUUAACUGGGAACAGGGGCUCUCUCACCACACCCUUUCCUGGAUGCGCCUCCCUGUUCAACCAAUAACUUAGCCUGACUCUUCUUCUUAAAACUGAGGAAACAGCAGGCCCAGAGGAGGUAAAAGAGAGAGAAAAAAGAAUGGAGAAAAAUGAUCAGAAUAACAUGAAACACACCAAUGUACGUGUAAUGGGAGUAGCAGAAGGAAAGCAGAAGGGGAAAGGAGAAGAAAAAAUAUUUGUGGUAAUAAUGGUUGAAAAUUUCCCAAAUUUGAUUAAAAAACAGCUUUCAUCCACAUAUUCAAGAAACUCAUGCAGCUCAAAGUGGAUAAAAUGCAGGAAGAUUCACACCCAGAUAGAUCAUAGCCAAAAUGAUGAAAGCCAAAGAUGAAGAAAAGAUCUUAAAAACAGUAAGAGGAAAAUGACUCAUCACUUGCAAGGUAACCCCAGUAAUGUUAACAAUGAGCUUCUCACUGGAAACAAUGGAGGCCAGGAGGGAGUGGAACAACAUAUUUGAGAUGCUGAAAGCUUAAAAAAAUUAUCAACCAAAAGUUUUAUAUCCAGCAAAAAUGAAACAAAUACAUUCCAAGAUUGAAAAAAAAAAGAAAGAAAAGCAGCUUGGAGAAUUUGUUGUUAGAAGACCUGCCUUGAAAGAAACACUAGAGUUUUGAGAGUGAAAACGAGUUACGCCAGAUAGAAAUUUGAAUCCACAUCAAAAAACAAAGCAUGUCAAUAAAAGUAAUUAUGAUGGUAACUAUAAAAGAAAGUUUAAUUGCAUAGUUCUUUUCCUUUCUUUUCUUAACUAAUUUUAAAACUACUUGCAUAACACAAUAUGUAGAUAAUUUUGUUGUUGGAAUGCAACUUAUACAAAUGUAGUAUAUUUGGAAAUAAUAUCACAAAAGAGGCAGGCAGGAACAAAGUUGUGUUGGAAUAAGGAAGUGACAUCAUAUGGUAAUGCAAGUUCACUGGAAGAAAUGAAGGGAAUCAGAGAUGAUAAAUAAGAAGAUUAAUAUAGCAAACUUCAAAUAUAUACUUGCACUCCUGUCUUCUUUGAGCACCUUUGAAUGACAGAAGAUUAUACAAGGUAAUAAGUUUUCAUUGUUGGGUUUGUGACACAUACAGCAAUACUGAGUAUAACAAAAUAGUACACACACGGGGUGUAGGAAUGGACCUAUACAGGAGUAAAGUUUCUAUAUUUCACUAGCAUUAAGUUAGCAUACAUCUGAAACAGAUUCUGAUAAGUUAGGAUGUAUAUUGCACGCCCUAGAGCAACUGCUAAAAGGUGACUCAAAAAAUAUCAUUAUCAGUAAAAAUUAUUAAAAGAGGGGCUGGCACCGUGGCUGAGUGGUUAAGUUCAAGCGCUCCGCUGCAGGCAGCCCAGUGUUUCAUUGGUUCGACUCCUGGGCGUGGACAUGGCACUGCUCAUCAAACCACGCUGAGGCAGCGUCCCACAUGCCACAACUAGAAGGACCCACAACGAAGAAUAUACACCUAUGUACCGGGGGGCUUUGGGGAGAAAAAGGAAAAAAAAUUAUUAAAAGAAUUAAGAUGUUACACUAGAAAAUACCCACUUAAAACAAAAGAAACUGGUAAUAAAGGAGUAGAGAAACAACCCCCUCCCCCCAUGAGACAUACGGAAAACAAAAAAGCAAAAUGGUGGAUGUAAAUCCAAAUCCGUGCACAUCAGUAAGCGUGAAGGGAUUAAACCGUCCAACCAAAAGGAAGAGAUUUUUAGGUUGGAUAGAAAAACAGGGUCCAAUUACGUGCUGUCUACAGGAGACACACUUUAGAUGCAAAGAUGCAAAAAGGUGGAAAGUAAAAGGACAUAAACUGAUAUGUCAUGCAAACAGCAAUCGUAAGACACCUGGAGUGGCAAUACUAAUAUUAGACUUUAAAAUUAACUUUAAAAAAGGUUGCUAGUGAUAAAGAGAGACAUUUCAUAAUGAUAAAAGAGACAAUAUAUUGGAAUGACAUAACAUUUAUAAACAUAUGCACUUAAAAAUAGGGCCCGAAAUACAUGAAGCAAAAAUGUCAGAAUGGAAGGGAGAAAUAGACAAUACAACAAUAGUAGGAGGAGAUUUCAAUACCUCACUUACAAUAAUGGAUAGAACAACUAAGCAAAAGAUUAACAAGCGAACAGAACAUUUGAACAGCACUAUAAACCAAUUCAAGCUAACAGACAUCUAUAGAACACGACCAAAUAACAGCGGAGCACACAUUCUUCUCAAGUCCACGGGGAACAGUCUCCAACACAGACUGUAUUUUAGGCCCAAAUCAUCCUCAAUAAUUUGAAAAGGAUUGAAAUCAUACAAAAUAUGUUCUCCAACCAUAAUGGGAUGAGAUGAGAAAUCAAUAACAGAAGGAAAA
ensembl:lncRNA